UUGGCAACACUUGCUUUGUUUGUAUAGCGUUUGUAGUAAACACGUUGUGUGAUGUAGGAAUUUAGAUUUGUUAAGACGAUUGUGAAUCCAAUUAUUUGUAUAACAACAAUAAAAUUUUCAAAAUUUUGGAAGGAGAUAUAUAUAGUAGAUUUAUUAAAGAUCGUUAUCAAAACACUCUUCGAGAAAUUGGACUAAAUUAGAUGAGACUGAAUUAGAUUUCAGAAAAUGGGAUCGGAACAUAGUCAUCAGUCUGCAAAUAGUUCACAAAGGAAUAACUCAAAUAAUAUCCCAGAUUCUAAUCAAGUCUUAAGAAGUUCUUCUCCUCGACCAUCUAUUAGUUCAGAUUCAGAUAUACCAUAUGUUUCGUAUACUGUAAAUAGACCAAUUGGAGUAAGUAAAUGUGUAUAAAAGAUGCCAGUCUAAGAUUGAUAUUAACAAGCUCUUCCACAUGAUCCAGUGCUCCCUUUCUAUGAGGUAUUGUCAAAGACUUUUAUGCACAGGAUAAGGAGUCUACAUCUUUAUAAUUAUGAAUUCCCUUCUCUUUGCUGCUUUAAACAUCUCAUGAAGCUCAGAGUUCUGAUGUGAUCAUUCUUGUAAACAGUAUGUAUCAUUAGCUUUUUUAUAUUUUUCUUCUAUUUAUAAUUUUAUUUUAUUUACUUCCUCUGAUGGAAUAAGAGCUUAAAUGUAAUUCAAAAUUUUAUUAAAAUUUAUAGAUUGAUUUAAAUGUUCAGUUUGUGAACCUGAAGGAAGAAUGCCUAUGAAUGAGGCUGAAAAUAUUAGUUUCAGUAAAAAGUGUUGCUGGAAAGAAAAAAGAUAUAUAUUUGUUUAUACUAGGUAUAAAUUUUUGUUUUAUCUAUCUGGUUAGAGUAUUCACUGAUAUCAUGUUCAAAAUGUUUAGUUAAAAUGCUUUAUAAAGUACAGUGAGUUUCAGAACAUAUUCAUUUUCAUCUAUUGCUGUUAAUCACUCAAAACUAUAAUGUGGCAAAUCACAUUUAGGAAAAUUGCUAUAUUAACCAAGUAGAAAUAAUGUGGGCCAAGAUUAAACCUGUUUGAUCUACUAGCUAUCAAUGAACAAUCUUGUUUUAUAUUAUAAUUUUUACAU